UUCAUCUUCACACCUCUCUCUCUCUCUCUCUCUCUCUCUCUCUUCAACUCAGAAGAACAUCGACUCUGAACAAAACAGAAGAACAUCGAAGCGAUCUCUGAUCCGGUCUGCUCAUGCUGCUCCAUCUCCGAUUAGGCCUCCACUCAUCUACGGUCUCAAUUUGUCCCCAUUUUCAUGUCGAUUAGGGUUUUAGCGUUUCACAAUCGCCUUCGAAUUCAACAAUCAGAUCGCAAAUCAUCAACAAGUUCUUCAAGAUGACUUGAAUGUUAACUUUGCUGGAUGAAAAUUAGACUAAGAAGGGCCUUGGCGAAUUAUAUGCGGAUGAGUAUGCUCAAAAGACUGGACUGGUUUCACAAGCAUUGUCUUUCUCCGAUGAGCAAAAGAAGGAGUCGGUAGCUUCAAUUAAUCAACCAGCUUGGAAGGAGCUUUUAACCUAUGAAUCCUAUAAAAGAGAAGACAUGGUUACAAUUCAGGCUGGAGAAAAGGCUGCAAGCUGUAUUUCGGAUGUGUCUUAAAUCGAUGACUUGAGUUUUGUGAAAGAACUGAACAACAGUUGACAGGUCAAACAUUUAAGUUAUGAUGGGACAAAGUGAGUUUAUUAGAUUGAUGAGUUUAAGUGUUUUCUUUCGUCAUGCUUACAGUCUAAAUUACUAGCAAUGCAGGUAUUUCUUAACUGUUAGAUUGAAGGGCUAUACUAUAUGUUAUCGUCAUGUUUUGUGAUAAUAUACAUGGUUUGAACUUUCAAAGUAGGGUAUUUGUUUUUCACUUCUUUUUGUUUUUAAAAGAUUGUUAACAAGCCCAAUAUUUUUAAUGUAGUAGGCAAGGAUAGGCAAUGGUGGCCUUUUGGUUGUCAUUCCAGAUCCAGUGACAUGUUUUUCUACUGUGAAAUACUCCCAAAAACAAGUGUUCAGAAUUAUGUCUGGCUCAAUUGAUUUUGAUGACUUUUGAUUGAAGUUUCAUAGUUUUUCAGACAACCAGUGAGUUUAAGUGAAAAAAAAAAAUCGAACUUUUCAAACAUAUUUUGGUAAAUUUCAGUCAUGUUUUGAACUUUUUGAUCGUUUACGAUUGAAAGUGUUAUUAACUGAAUCUGAUUAACGAAUCAAAGUGAAUUCAGGUUUGUUGUUUGAACGAAUCAAAGGUCUGAAUUUGGGUUGAUUUAGUUGUGAUUACAGGUUGUUUAGGAUCAUUUAAAAGUUAUAUAAACUGUUUUUUGGUUGAUCUUGGACAUGUUUUCAUCAAUUUUAGAGAUUUUGAUUGGCUGAAACUGAACGAAAAUCAGCAUAUUGUUCAAAACUUCAUUAAAUCAGCAUAUUGUUCAAAACAUCAUUUCAUAACUGUCGUAUAAGAAUUAUAAAUCAUAAUCGUUCAUCUUCAUAUAAUACACAUCACUGAUUCAUUCGUAUUGAACAUAUCAUCUUCACAGUAUUGAAAACAAGCAGAUUUUCGAGUUGAAAAAUUGUUAUUUUUUCUGUGAAAUUGUUUCAGAUCUGAGUUGUGUGUAUUGUCUAAAAAAAAGGGAAAACGAAAUCUGAAACUAUGUGUUCGAAUUAGAAAAAAGAUAGUCAGAUUUGUUUCGAGUUGAAUUACAACUGAUUUCAUUUCAAUUACGGUGAAACGGAAUGGUUUCCGGCUGAGUUUUAACGUGAUUUUGAUCUGUUCUAAUCAUGCUUUGAACAUACUGUUGGUCUCGAUCUGAUUUUCAUGAAUUCAGAUAUGUUUGCAGCUCUUAUUAUUUUUUAGUAUAAACAAAUAAGAAAAGAACUGUCAUUGAUGGCUGAAUUCAGAUCUGUUUCCAAUCGACGGAGUGACGCCACGAUGACAGAAAUGGUGUUUUCAAGAUUUUUGACCCUUACCAGCAACCGUUAUGUUGUUUAUCGUCUUCGAUAAUGGUUCAGUGUGUGUGUGUGUGUAUAAGUGUGUGUUGCAGAAGAUAAGGGAGUGAGUUUGAUUGGUGAUUUGAGUUUGGGUUAUCGGAGGUUUGACCAGUGGAUUGAGGAAGCCUAUUCAGAAGUAGAAUCAGAGGAGAUCUGGAGGGCCAGUUUCACAUUUGAAGGGCAACAGUCUGGCUAUUCAGACUUUAAGAGGAGAUGAGAGAGACAUCUAUAACUGAUGUUCGUUUCAAAGAAAGGUCAAAUAAUCCUCGACCAUAAUUUCUAAAGGUGUUCUUUUAUUAUAUAACAUUAUCUCUUUUUUUAUCUACUCACGAACCAUGUUUAAUUAGGACAUGAACAAGAAAGUUGUGACAACUGUCAGAUUUGCAUGCAUCCGUACGUUUAAUUAAUAUUGAUUUAUGCUUAAUAACUGU
rnacentral:lncRNA from 1 species